GCGCCGAGCUCGGCUCCCCAGCAACAACCACGUGAGAAGAAGAAGAAGGGCCAGCAGAGGUGCAGAGAGAAAAGAAGGAAAAGAGCAUCAGAGAAUUAAAAAAACGACGCUGAAGAAGACUUUUUAGCUAAAAUAUGAGCCUAAGAUGUUGCAAAUUAAGGACCAGUCUAAUGAAAGCCAAAAAAUCAAUUAAUACUUUUGGAAUUUGAGACGCACAAAUUUUUGCCUCCUGCCGAGUUCCCUCUCCUCAGCUCGCAAUUAGUGAAACUCGCCGGUUGAUCAAAACCUUGCAAGGCCAAAGCAUCAUGUGACUCUCGUUGGCUCGCAAUUGAAGCCGAAUCGCGCGAUGCUCGGUGGCGUCAAAUAAAUAAUGUAAACAAACAAGGUCGCUGAACGUCCGGAUGGCGGCGAACAACGUUAGGCGCAAAAGUAAUGCGAAUCCUAAUGUUGGUGUUUUAUUAUCGCGCGCCGGGAUAGAUGAUCUCGCGAUUAUCUCGUAAAAAUUGCCGCUUCCUUUUUAUCUCGCACAUUUAUUUCUUUUUUCUCCGCGUCUCUUAUCAAGUAGGUCAAACUUGGGAAAUGACGCGCAAUAUAAUAAAGCAGCUCGAUGAUGGAGCCUCGGCCGCCGCCGCCGUUUUAUGAAUGAAUGAAAUCCGAGAUUAUAGUGCCGGCGGUGGGCGGGACGGACCAAUGGACGCGCGGAUAAUGCACCACAGAUUAUCGCCCCGCGUUUAUGCUGCUCUUUCCCCCUUUGUGUUAUUACGAUGUGUCGGACCAGAGUUCUCUGCUGACCCCUGCUUGAAACCUGCCAGUAAUAUUUAUUAUGGUGCAAGGGGCUUUCCGCCGCCGCCAAAUAAUAAAAAUCCGUAUACGGUCCGGCGGCACCCCAGCAGCUAUAUCGUUCUUUAUCUGCGCGUUUUCCGAUUCGAUCUGCGUGCUUUUAAGAUCCAAUUUCCGCCAACUGGAAAAAAAAGAGUCUCCAGGUUUUCCAGGAAAGCCGCGAUUUUUACGAGGAAGGAGAGAGGAAAUCUGAGAUAAUUGUUUCAGGCUUAAUUAAGACAUCAAAACCCUUAUUAAAGAGAUUCAAAUAAAAGGAAUAUUUCAAAUU